rnacentral:rRNA from 1 species
UACAGGGGGUGCAAACGUUGCUCGGAAUCAUUGGGCGUAAAGCGCACGUAGGCGGUUUCGUUAUGUCGGAUGAUGAAAGCCCUUGGCUUAACCGAGGAAGUGCAUCCGAAACUGGCGAGCUAGAGUACUAAAGAGGGAUCGCGGAAUUCCCGGUGUAGAGGUGAAAUUCGUAGAUAUCGGGAGGAACACCGGUGGCGAAGGCGGCGAUCUGGGUAGAUACUGACGCUGAGGUGCGAAAGCGUGGGGAGCAAACAGGG